rfam:Triticum aestivum genome assembly, contig: Triticum_aestivum_CS42_TGACv1_scaffold_289029_4AL
AUAGUACUCCCUCCGUUCCACAAUACAUGACUUCCAUUUAUUAAAAUAUAGAUGUAUCUACACAUGUUUUAGUAUAUAGGUACAUCCAUUUUUGAACAAAUGAAAAUCAAGUAAUUUUGAACGGAGGGAGUACAUG